rnacentral:rRNA from 1 species
UGUGUGACUGCGUACCUUUUGUAUAAUGGGUCAGCGACUUAUAUUCUGUAGCAAGGUUAACCGUAUAGGGGAGCCGUAGGGAAACCGAGUCUUAACCGGGCGUUAAGUUGCAGGGUAUAGACCCGAAACCCGGUGAUCUAGCCAUGGGCAGGUUGAAGGUUGGGUAACACUAACUGGAGGACCGAACCGACUAAUGUUGAAAAAUUAGCGGAUGACCUGUGGCUGGGGGUGAAAGGCCAAUCAAACCGGGAGAUAGCUGGUUCUCCCCGAAAGCUAUUUAGGUAGCGCCUCGUGAAUUCAUCUCCGGGGGUAGAGCACUGUUUCGGCUAGGGGGCCAUCCCGGCUUACCAACCCGAUGCAAACUGCGAAUACCGGAGAAUGUUAUCACGGGAGACACACGGCGGGUGCUAACGUCCGUCGUGAAGAGGGAAACAACCCAGACCGCCAGCUAAGGUCCCAAAGUCAUGGUUAAGUGGGAAACGAUGUGGGAAGGCCCAGACAGCCAGGAUGUUGGCUUAGAAGCAGCCAUCAUUUAAAGAAAGCGUAAUAGCUCACUGGUCGAGUCGGCCUGCGCGGAAGAUGUAACGGGGCUAAACCAUGCACCGAAGCUGCGGCAGCGAACGUAUCACCCAAGACAACUUUACGGAGUUGACGAUUGACGGAGCGAAGCGACGUCAAAGCGUUCAUUAAAGUCGAGUUGGCUUAGGGAUACGUUCGUUGGGUAGGGGAGCGUUCUGUAAGCCUGUGAAGGUGUGUCGUGAGGCAUGCUGGAGGUAUCAGAAGUGCGAAUGCUGACAUAAGUAACGAUAAAGCGGGUGAAAAGCCCGCUCGCCGGAAGACCAAGGGUUCCUGUCCAACGUUAAUCGGGGCAGGGUGAGUCGACCCCUAAGGCGAGGCCGAAAGGCGUAGUCGAUGGGAAACGGGUUAAUAUUCCCGUACUUGGUGUUACUGCGAAGGGGGGACGGAGAAGGCUAUGUUGGCCGGGCGACGGUUGUCCCGGUUUAAGCGUGUAGGUGUGUGUUCCAGGUAAAUCCGGUUCACUUUAACACUGAGGCGUGACGACGAGGCACUACGGUGCUGAAGCAACAAAUGCCCUGCUUCCAGGAAAA